GGAAUUUUGCGCAAUGGGCGAAAGCCUGACGCAGUAACGCCGCGUGGAGGAUGAAGGCCUUCGGGUUGUAAACUCCUGUCAGGCGGAACGACGGAAGUGAGGUUAACAGCCUCACUCUCCAGACGGUACCUCCAAAGGAAGCCCCGGCUAAUUCCGUGCCCGCAGCCGCGGUAAUGCGGAAGGGGCUAGCGUUGUUCGGACUCAUUGGGCGUAAAGGGCGCGUAGGCGGUCUCGUAUGUCUGCUGUGAAAGGACACGGCUCAACCGUGGAGGGUCGGUGGAAACUGCGAGACUUGAGGCUGGGAGGGGCUGGUGGAAUUCCCUGUGUAGCGGUGAAAUGCGUAGAUAUAGGGGAGAACACUCGUGGCGAAGGCGGCCAGCUGGACCAGACCUGACGCUGAGGCGCGACAGCGUGGGGAGCA
rnacentral:rRNA from 1 species